rnacentral:rRNA from 1 species
GAUGAACGCUGGCGGCGUGCCUAAUACAUGCAAGUCGAGCGAACAGAUGAGGAGCUUGCUCCUCUGACGUUAGCGGCGGACGGGUGAGUAACACGUGGAUAACCUACCUAUAAGACUGGGAUAACUUCGGGAAACCGGAGCUAAUACCGGAUAAUAUAUUGAACCGCAUGGUUCAAUAGUGAAAGACGGUUUUGCUGUCACUUAUAGAUGGAUCCGCGCCGCAUUAGCUAGUUGGUAAGGUAACGGCUUACCAAGGCAACGAUGCGUAGCCGACCGGAGAGGGUGAUCGGCCACACUGGAACUGAGACACGGUCCAGACUCCUAAGGGAGGCAGCAGUAGGGAAUCUUCCGCAAUGGGCGAAAGCCUGACGGAGCAACGCCGCGUGAGUGAUGAAGGUCUUCGGAUCGUAAAACUCUGUUAUUAGGGAAGAACAAAUGUGUAAGUAACUAUGCACGUCUUGACGGUACCUAAUCAGAAAGCCACGGCUAACUACGUG